AAGGAGAAGAGGAGGAAAGGUAAAGAUAUGAUUACAGAGCCUGCCGAUGUAUUAUUCCAAACAAUGUUUUUAAGAUAAAAUACAAAAAUGAGGCAAGCAAUGGGAAUUUGUUAACCAAAGUAUUUUAUCUAAUAGUGUACUAUUUAUUAUUAAAGAUUGGAGAGGAAGGAGAAGGAAAAAUUAAGGGAGUAAAAAGAGUGAAGCGAGGAGAGUGUAGAAGAGUGAGGUGGAAAGGUAAAGAGAAGUAAAGGAAGGAAGAUGAGUGAAGAAAGAAGAGGAGAAAGAUUGGAGCAGAAGAAAAAGUUAAGAUAGUAAGAAGAGCAGACAGAGGAGGUACAAUGGCUCUUUCCAAGAAACAGAAUGAAUGAUAUAUGGACAGCAGCAAGAAAUAGGUUCACUGUUCCUAUGCUUAUUGUGAAGACAAACUUCAACCUCCCUUGCCAGGAGUUCAUGGAGAAGCUGGCCAAAGACAGAGUAAUCCUGAAAAAGAUACAUUCUUCUGAGAAAUAUACAGAUUAGACUACCAGGACCACUGAAUGGCUGUUCAGAUUGGACAGUUUUGUCUUGUCUGUAGUGUUUCUGUAAUAUAGUUGUUUUCUCUAUCACAGUGUGCCUGUUAGACUAAAUACAUGAAACUGGAAUUGUCCCCCAUACUACUGGUAGUACCCAUCACGGUCUAAUCAGCCAAAUAAAGUAAAGAUAUGUAAUUUAA